rnacentral:lncRNA from 1 species
CAUUUGAUUGGUGAGCCACUUUUAAAAGGAGCCACCUGAUAACUCUUAGCGUAGCCACCCAGGAGAAUUAAAAAGCGGGAGAAUUUGGUAACCGAAGGACUGGGGAUGUAGCUCAGUGUCAAGGCCCUGGGUUUAAUCCCCAAUGCCACAAACAAAAAACAAAACCAAAAGAAGACAUGAAAUGGUGAGAGGAUCUUCAGGCCUGAGAAGAGGGUGGAGGACUGAAAAGUUCAGGAACACAGAAUCUAGUACAGGUGCCCAGCACAGCAUGGGGGCCCAGGAAGACAGGGUCUGGAGGAGGGGAGGAAACCUCUUUAAGGCUGCUGUUUCCUGUUCCCUUGUACCCUCCCUGACCCACCUGGGUCACCUCAUCACAGCCUGAAACACAGCCCGACUCCCCACCCUUGGAAGGUGUCAUUCCCAGGCCUGGACAGGUGGAUCCAGGUCCCUCGGGGGCCAUUCCUCCCACAUGCUCAUUGGCCCUGCUGUCCCCGAGUGGAAGGGACUUUAUCCACAAGCAGGUAAAGAAU